GAAUAGUGGGCGACGGGUGAGUACACGUAAGCACCUGCCUUUAAGACGAGAAUAACAAUUGGAAACAGUUGCUAAGGCUGGAUAGGAAAUAAAAAGGCAUCUUUUUAUUUUUAAAAGACCUUUUUCGGAAGGUAUGCUUAAAGAGGGGCUUGCGUCACAUUAGUUAGUUGGUAGGGUAAAGGCCUACCAAGACGAUGAUAUGUAGCUGGACUGAGAGGUUGAACAGCCACAUUGGGACUGAGACACGCCCAAACUCCUACGGGAGGCAGCAGUAGGGAAUUUCGGCAAUGGAGGAAACUCUGACCGAGCAACGCCGCGUGAACGACGAAGUACUUCGGUAUGUAAAGUUCUUUUAUUGAAGAAGAAACAAUAGUGGAAAAACUAUCUUGACGUUAUUCAAUGAGUAAGCCCCGGCUAACUAUGUGCCAGCAGCCGCGGUAAUACAUAGGGGGCGAGCGUUAUCCGGAAUUAUUGGGCGUAAAGGGUGCGUAGGCGGUUUAAUAAGUCUCUAGUUUAAUUUCAACGCUUAACGUUGUCCUGCUAGAGAAACUGUUUAACUAGAGUGAGAUAGAGGUAAGCGGAAUUCCAUGUGUAGCGGUAAAAUGUGUAAAUAUAUGGAGGAACACCAGAGGCGUAGGCGGCUUACUGGGUCUUUACUGACGCUGAUGCACGAAAGCGUGGGGAGCAAACAGGAUUAGAUACCCUGGUAGUGCACGCCGUAAACUAUGAGUACUAGGUGUCGGGGUUAAACUCGGUACUGAAGUUAACACAUUAAAUACUCCGCCUGAGUAGUACGUACACAAGUAUGAAAUUUAAAGGAAUUGACGGGAUCCCGCACAAGCGGUGGAUCAUGUUGUUUAAUUCGAAGAUACACGAAAAACCUUACCAGGUCUUGACAUACUCUGCAAAGCUAUAGAAAUAUAGUGGAGGUUAUCAGGGAUACAGGUGGUGCAUGGUUGUCGUCAGCUCGUGUCGUGAGAUGUUAGGUUAAGUUCUAAACGAGCGCAACCCCUGUCGUUAAUUGCCAGCACGUUAUGGUGGGGACUUUAGCGAGACUGCCAAUGAAAAAUUGGAGGAAGGUGGGGAUUACGUCAAAUCAUCAUGCCCCUUAUGAUCUGGGCUACAAACGUGAUACAAUGGCUAUUACAAAGAGUAGCUGAAACGCGAGUUUUUGGCAAAUCUCAAAAAAAUAGUCUCUGUUCGGAUUGAAGUCUGCAACUCGACUUCAUGAAGUUGGAAUCGCUAGUAAUCGCGAAUCAGCAUGUCGCGGUGAAUACGUUCUCGGGGUUUGUAUACACCGCCCGUCAAACCACGAAAUACUCAGCUAC
rnacentral:rRNA from 1 species